AACGAACGCUGGCGGCAUGCCUAACACAUGCAAGUCGAACGAGACCUUCGGGUCUAGUGGCGCACGGGUGCGUAACGCGUGGGAACCUGCCCUUAGGUUCGGAAUAACUCCCCGAAAGGGGUGCUAAUACCGGAUAAUGUCUUCGGACCAAAGAUUUAUCGCCUUUGGAUGGGCCCGCGUUGGAUUAGCUAGUUGGUAGGGUAAAGGCCUACCAAGGCAACGAUCCAUAGCUGGUCUGAGAGGAUGAUCAGCCACACUGGGACUGAGACACGGCCCAGACUCCUACGGGAGGCAGCAGUGGGGAAUAUUGGACAAUGGGCGAAAGCCUGAUCCAGCAAUGCCGCGUGAGUGAUGAAGGCCUUAGGGUUGUAAAGCUCUUUUACCCGGGAUGAUAAUGACAGUACCGGGAGAAUAAGCUCCGGCUAACUCCGUG
rnacentral:rRNA from 1 species